UACGUAGGGGGCAAGCGUUGUCCGGAUUUAUUGGGCGUAAAGAGCGUGUAGGCGGCUUGGAAGGUCAGCUGUGAAAACUCGAGGCUCAACCUCGAGACGUCGGUUGAAACCACCUGGCUAGAGUCCGGAAGAGGAGAGUGGAAUUCCCGGUGUAGCGGUGAAAUGCGUAGAUAUUCGGAAGAACACCAGUGGCGAAGGCGACUUACUGGACACAUAUUGACGCUGAGGUGCGAAAGCGUGGGGAGCAAACAGG
rnacentral:rRNA from 1 species